AGAGUUUGAUCCUGGCUCAGGACGAACGCUGGCGGCGUGCCUAAUACAUGCAAGUCGUACGCUUCUUUUUCCACCGGAGCUUGCUCCACCGGAAAAAGAAGAGUGGCGAACGGGUGAGUAACACGUGGGUAACCUGCCCAUCAGAAGGGGAUAACACUUGGAAACAGGUGCUAAUACCGUAUAACAAUCGAAACCGCAUGGUUUUGAUUUGAAAGGCGCUUUCGGGUGUCGCUGAUGGAUGGACCCGCGGUGCAUUAGCUAGUUGGUGAGGUAACGGCUCACCAAGGCCACGAUGCAUAGCCGACCUGAGAGGGUGAUCGGCCACAUUGGGACUGAGACACGGCCCAAACUCCUACGGGAGGCAGCAGUAGGGAAUCUUCGGCAAUGGACGAAAGUCUGACCGAGCAACGCCGCGUGAGUGAAGAAGGUUUUCGGAUCGUAAAACUCUGUUGUUAGA
rnacentral:rRNA from 1 species